CCAAACGCAACUCUCAAGUCUCACCUCUAUAACUGACAAGACAACCCAACCCAAUUCAACCCUGCUUAACUCAACUCAACCCAGAUAACCCGACCCGUUUUCUCUUCAGAACAAGAAAAUGAAGUGGAACAGGAGAUCAAAGACGAAGAUUUAGAGAAUGGAAUGGCUUGUUAUCAAACUUAAGUACAAAGUUUUCUCACUGUGGCUCCAGUGAGGGGAUAGCACUUGUUCGUAUGAUCAUAUCCAUGGGGACAAGUGUAUGCUGCAUAAAGCUCGGAAUGUCACCAAAGCGGUCAAGCCUUCCUAAGCGGGUUCAGGUUUUAGACUGGAAUAUUUUGCUCAAACCUGAGGAAGUAAUCUAAAUAGGAUCUAUUAAGUUUGGCUGGAUUUAUUGUCAAUGUAAGUAUAUAAUCGGAAAAACAUAAGUGCACACACUUCAUAAGCUAAGGAGAUACCAUCACAAAACCAUAUGGAAUUACGAGAAAGACUCUAAUAACUUACAAAGUGUGCACACCAUCUUUAAUUCAUCGAUGUGGGAUAACAAAUCCCAACAGUUUUCCAACAGGGAGAUUUUCUUACCCUGAU